rnacentral:rRNA from 1 species
UACAGAGGGGGCAAGCGUUAUUCGGAAUUAUUGGGCGUAAAGGGCGCGUAGGCGGCUUUGCAAGUGACGGGUGAAAUCCCUCGGCUUAACCGAGGAACUGCCUGUCAGACUGCAUGGCUUGAGACCGGGAGAGGUGAGUGGAAUUCCCAGUGUAGCGGUGAAAUGCGUAGAUAUUGGGAGGAACACCAGUGGCGAAGGCGGCUCACUGGACCGGUACUGACGCUGAGGCACGAAGGCCAGGGGAGCAAACGGG